CCCCCGAGGAGGACGAGGAGGAGGAGGAAUGAUUCUGCGGGCAGUCUGCCAGAUUGGCAAUUUGAAACGCACUGUCUGUGACGGCUGCUGAGGCUGCUGCGGGGGAGUGAAGGGCUGUCAUGACGAUGACCCCUGGAGUAGAAUCCUUCAAAAUAAUCCUAAAUGAAAAUUCCGCUGCUCGGCCCAAGAUGGCUCAGGGUUAAAGAGUACUGGCUGCUCUUCCAGAGGACCUGGGUUCAAUUUUCCACACCACCAUGGCAGUUUCCAGAUCUGUGACUUCCGGACAAUCCAAUACUCUUACCCAGACAUGCACGCAGGCAAAAAAAAAUUUAUUUAAAAAAGAAAGAAAGAAAAUCGUAGUCCGAAACCUUGCUUCCAUGGAACAAGACUUUGCAAUGUUCAACUUCACACAGAAUUAACUCAUUUAUCAUUCUGUUGCUUUAUUGUUCUUUCUUACUUGUAUAACAUGGGAAUCUUGAGAGUGGGAAUCUUGAUUUCUUUCUUUCUCGAUGUGCCCUGCCCCCAAAUCCAAGGGCAGAUCCCAGUUUACUAAAAACACUAAGGAAACAUUUAAAUAAAUUCAUGCUGCAUACCAA